CCUACGGGAGACAGCAGUGGGGAAUAUUGGGCAAUGGGCGCAAGCCUGACCCAGCAACGCCGCGUGAAGGAAGAAGGCUUUCGGGUUGUAAACUUCUUUUGUCAGGGAAGAGUAGAAGACGGUACCUGACGAAUAAGCCACGGCUAACUACGUGCCAGCAGCCGCGGUAAUACGUAGGUGGCAAGCGUUGUCCGGAUUUACUGGGUGUAAAGGGCGUGUAGCCGGGUUGACAAGUCAGAUGUGAAAUCCUGCGGCUUAACCGCAGAACUGCAUUUGAAACUGUUGAUCUUGAGUACUGGAGAGGUAGACGGAAUUCCUAGUGUAGCGGUGAAAUGCGUAGAUAUUAGGAGGAACACCAGUGGCGAAGGCGGUCUGCUGGACAGCAACUGACGGUGAGGCGCGAAAGCGUGGGGAGCAAACAGGAUUAGAUACCCCAGUAGUC
rnacentral:rRNA from 1 species